UGGGGCUCUUUCCGGUGGCCGACGCCAGCCCAGAUCGGCUCCCCCGCCACCGCCGCUGUAGUUUCCUGCUCUCUCUCUCUCUCUCUCUCUCUCUCUCUCGGAGCUAAAUAUUUGAAUUGCUCCCUUUCUUUUCCACCCUAGCAGAGGAGCUACUAUUUUGAACUGCUCCAUCUGUACCGCCCCCUCCCCCUUCUCUCCGGUCUUAUAAAACUUCUCCCUCCCCUCCCUUAACCGUGGUGGCGGAAUCUUGCGUGCCCCCUUCUUCCACCCUCUACACCUCCUUCAUCCAUUUCGGAAGUCUCCAAUUGCAUGCUGGCUUUCAUACGGUGACCACAUCUCGUGUAGCUGCACCCCCUCUCCUAUUCUCUGAUACGCACAGGCCUCACACACCUCUCCUCCGCUUCCCUCACCAACCUGCGGUGCCUCCAGCCGUCCGACCGGCGGCAGCAUCUCCACACCUCCCCUGAUCAUCUCCUAGGCCGCCCGCCAGACUUUUUUUUCCUGGAGACGGCAUGAAGUCGGCCGACGGCAUGGCACGAGAGGGAACUUUCAAUGGCAGCGGAGGAAACCUUCCCAGGAAGCUAGCUUUGCAAGGACUCUUCCUGAUGUCACUGGCUCUGGCAUGUCUCUUCCACCCAGCACUAGAAGCACUCUCGGCUCGCGAGUCCUUCCCCGCGGCCUUCUACUACCUUGCUCUCUGGGUUCUCUUCCUCUCUGGCCUGGGGUAUAUGCUGCUGAGCGUGUGGGCUUCCGACCACCCCACUUCACAAAGUGCCCUGGCCAAGCAACUUGUCAAGUGACCGAUGACUGCAACCAGGUUCCUGUUUCCUUUUGCUUAGAUUGCAAAGGAACAUGUAUACAAAAAUACGGAGAAAAGAAAAAGAAAAAAAAAACUGUACUAAUAUAUGACUUGUUCCAGAUAAAGAAAAAACCUGAUUCCGUUUCUAGCAGCAGAAUCCAGGAAGGCUUGGGGUUCAGGGGAGAGAAGAUUUCGUGCACCGACUCUGUUUCAUGUUGACAUAGGGUCCCAAAAUGGUGGAGCACAAUCAAAUCCUCCAUGCUAUCUUACCUCUAUAUUCUUCUCUCCAUGUUAUCCUUUGACGUAACUUAAAUGUUCAGAUCCUUCCUGCUUAUAGUAUCUUUUAA